rnacentral:lncRNA from 1 species
GUGUGUGUGUGUGUGUGUGUGUGUAACUUAUGUAACUAUAAAUAAUAAUAUAAAUAAACAAAAGUAGGUAGAAAAAUGUUACAUAGAUAAUAUCUCAUUUAAAAAAACAUUAAAGAAGUUUCUUAGAUAUGGAUUAGAAGUUUUUAUUCUUAUAGAUUUGUCAUGUGGCUAUUAAAACUUGUCUUAAAAGCAUAUUAUUUUUAAAAAGUUGUGUUGGAAUCAACUUAAAACUUCAGAUUUGCACCACAAGCCUCACAUUUCUUACAAAGUUUUACAAGACCUUCUUGGAAGCAUGUAUAUAUAGAGGCAAAAUUGAGGCUAUUCUCAAUCUCAUCGAUAAAUUUCUUGUAUUCAAUAUAACAUCAUAUAACCAUGAUUAACUUCAAAAAUAAUAUUUACUUCACAAAUAAAAUAAGCAUUCAAAAUAAAAUUACUCUGUUCAAUAUAUAUAUAUAUAUAUAUAUAUUAAUGAAUUACAAUGGAUAAGUGUUAACCUAAUUGAUAUGAAAUUUUACAUUUUGUACCUAUGCUGAACUCCAUGCUACUGAAUUGUUUUUUUUUGAAAGAACGGAAUAUCUCUCAAAAGUAGAAUGAAGAAAGUGGUUCUCAAGACAAUGAGCACCUAACCAGAUACAAAUUACUCAAAAAAAAUAUAUUUUAUAAUGAUCUUUUUUGGGCUUCUUACAACCUACAACAAAAAAAGAGAGAAAAAGCUGAGAUUUUUAUACUUUUAUGGAAAUUUUCAUAACUAACAAUCCUACUAAAAUUCCUAAAAAAAAAGGAGUUUUCUAUCAAAGAAUCAAUUCUGUUGAAACCAAAAAUUGUCAUUUUAGUGAUUAUUUUAAAAUUAUCAGUUUUCCAUUGAAAAAACCACUGAGUGUACGUGUGUUGAAAUUAUCAAAAAAAUAGUAUUGAUAAAAAUAAAUAAAAAUGUAAUCUUGCAAACAUAACAUAAAUACACUUCUGAUUAGUGAGUACAAAGUUAUGAUAUAGUUUAAGGAGAAACUUACCUACUUUUAUUUUCGGUGUAUUACCCAUUACUGUAAUUCUAUUAUAAUGCAUUCUGAACGAA